UGUUAAAACUUCAUUCAUUUCUAUUGUUAAAAACUGACAUAGUUGAUGGAAUAACUAGAUAGUAACACAUGGCAUGCGACGUACAAGGAUCGGUUUUUAAUUGUGAAAAUAGAUGAAAUUUUUAAUA
rnacentral:pre_miRNA from 1 species